CUCCUCGAUGUGCCUGGUGGAAGC
rnacentral:piRNA from 1 species